rnacentral:rRNA from 1 species
GAUGAACGCUGGCGGCGUGCCUAAUACAUGCAAGUCGAGCGAACAGACGAGGAGCUUGCUCCUCUGACGUUAGCGGCGGACGGGUGAGUAACACGUGGAUAACCUACCUAUAAGACUGGGAUAACUUCGGGAAACCGGAGCUAAUACCGGAUAAUAUAUUGAACCGCAUGGUUCAAUAGUGAAAGACGGUUUUGCUGUCACUUAUAGAUGGAUCCGCGCCGCAUUAGCUAGUUGGUAAGGUAACGGCUUACCAAGGCAACGAUGCGUAGCCGACCUGAGAGUGGGACGGGCAACACUGGAGAUGGCAACAGGGCCGGACGCAGACGGGAGGGAGCAGGGGGGAAUGUGUGGAAAUGGGCGAAAGAAGGAAGGAGAAAAGCAGUGGGAGAGAAGAAGUGUGUAGGAUAGUAAAACUCUGUUAUGAGGAAAGAACAAAAGAGAAACGAACCAUGACAAGCGGGACGGUACAGAAUAAGAAAGACAGCGCGAAACACGUG